rnacentral:rRNA from 1 species
UACGGAGGGGGCUAGCGUUGUUCGGAAUUACUGGGCGUAAAGCGCACGUAGGCGGCUUUGCAAGUUAGAGGUGAAAGCCCGGGGCUCAACUCCGGAAUUGCCUUUAAAACUGCAUCGCUAGAAUUGUGGAGAGGUAAGUGGAAUUCCGAGUGUAGAGGUGAAAUUCGUAGAUAUUCGGAAGAACACCAGUGGCGAAGGCGACUUACUGGACACAUAUUGACGCUGAGGCACGAAAGCGUGGGGAGCAAACAGGG